CAGCCGCCGCGGUAAUACGUAGGGCGCAAGCGUUGUCCGGAAUUAUUGGGCGUAAAGAGCUCGUAGGCGGUCUGUCGCGUCUGGUGUGAAAUCCCGAGGCUCAACCUCGGGCUUGCAUCGGGUACGGGCAGACUAGAGUGCGGUAGGGGAGACUGGAAUUCCUGGUGUAGCGGUGGAAUGCGCAGAUAUCAGGAGGAACACCGAUGGCGAAGGCAGGUCUCUGGGCCGCAACUGACGCUGAGGAGCGAAAGCAUGGGGAGCGAACAGGAUUAGAUACCCGAGUAGUCCCUGUCUCUUAUAC
rnacentral:rRNA from 1 species